rnacentral:rRNA from 1 species
UUAAAUUGAAGAGUUUGAUCAUGGCUCAGAUUGAACGCUGGCGGCAGGCCUAACACAUGCAAGUCGAACGGUAACAGGAAGAAGCUUUCUU